UGGGGGUCUCUGGGGCCCGGGGGGGGGCAGGCCUGAUGCCAGGCACUGCCGCGUGAGUGAUGAAGGCCUUAGGGUUGUAAAGCUCUUUUGCUGGGGAUGAUAAUGACAGUACCCAGAGCAUAAGCUCCGGCUAACUCCGUGCCAGCAGCCGCGGUAUUACUGAGGGAGCUAGCGUUGUUCGGAAUUACUGGGCGUAAAGCGCACGUAGGCGGCUAUUCAAGUCAGAGGUGAAAGCCCGGGGCUCAACCCCGGAACUGCCUUUGAAACUAAAUUGCUAGAAUCCUGGAGAGGCUAGUGGAAUUCCGAGUGUAGAGGUGAAAUUCGUAUAUAUUCGGAAGAACACCAGUGGCGAAGGCGACUCGCUGGACAGGUAUUGACGCUGAGGUGCUAAAGCGUGGGGAGCAAACAGGAUUAAAUACCCUGGUAGUCCACGCCGUAAACGAUGAUAACUAGCUGUCCGGGUUCACAGAACUUGGGUGGCGCAGCUAACGCAUUAAGUUAUCCGCCUGGGGAGUACGGUCGCAAGAUUAAAACUAAAGU
rnacentral:rRNA from 1 species